rnacentral:rRNA from 1 species
GACGAACGCUGGCGGCGUGCUUAACCCAUGCAAGUCGAACGGAAAGGCCCUGCUUUUGUGGGGUGCUCGAGUGGCGAACGGGUGAGUAACACGUGAGUAACCUGCCCUUGACUUUGGGAUAACUUCAGGAAACUGGGGCUAAUACCGGAUAGGAGCUCCUGCUGCAUGGUGGGGGUUGGAAAGUUUCGGCGGUUGGGGAUGGACUCGCGGCUUAUCAGCUUGUUGGUGGGGUAGUGGCUUACCAAGGCUUUGACGGGUAGCCGGCCUGAGAGGGUGACCGGCCACAUUGGGACUGAGAUACGGCCCAGACUCCUACGGGAGGCAGCAGUGGGGAAUAUUGCACAAUGGGCGGAAGCCUGAUGCAGCAACGCCGCGUGCGGGAUGACGGCCUUCGGGUUGUAAACCGCUUUCGCCUGUGACGAAGCGUGAGUGACGGUAAUGGGUAAAGAAGCACCGGCUAACUACGU